GAUGGACGCUGGCGGCGUGCCUAAUACAUGCAAGUCGAGCGAACGGACGAGAAGCUUGCUUCUCUGAUGUUAGCGGCGGACGGGUGAGUAACACGUGGAUAACCUACCUAUAAGACUGGGAUAACUUCGGGAAACCGGAGCUAAUACCGGAUAAUAUUUUGAACCGCAUGGUUCAAAAGUGAAAGACGGUCUUGCUGUCACUUAUAGAUGGAUCCGCGCUGCACUAGCUAGUUGGUAAGGUAACGGCUUACCAAGGCAACGAUGCAUAGCCGACCUGAGAGGGUGAUCGGCCACACUGGAACUGAGACACGGUCCAGACUCCUACGGGAGGCAGCAGUAGGGAAUCUUCCGCAAUGGGCGAAAGCCUGACGGAGCAACGCCGCGUGAGUGAUGAAGGUCUUCGGAUCGUAAAACUCUGUUAUUAGGGAAGAACAUAUGUGUAAGUAACUGUGCACAUCUUGACGGUACCUAAUCAGAAAGCCACGGCUAACUACGUG
rnacentral:rRNA from 1 species